UGGGGAAUAUUGGACAAUGGGCGAAAGCCUGAUCCAGCCAUGCCGCGUGUGUGAAGAAGGUCUUCGGAUUGUAAAGCACUUUAAGUUGGGAGGAAGGGCAGUAAGCGAAUACCUUGCUGUUUUGACGUUACCGACAGAAUAAGCACCGGCUAACUCUGUGCCAGCAGCCGCGGUAAUACAGAGGGUGCAAGCGUUAAUCGGAAUUACUGGGCGUAAAGCGCGCGUAGGUGGUUCGUUAAGUUGAAUGUGAAAGCCCCGGGCUCAACCUGGGAACUGCAUCAAAAACUGGCGAGCUAGAGUAGGGCAGAGGGUGGUGGAAUUUCCUGUGUAGCGGAGAAAUGCGUAGAUAUAGGAAGGAACACCAGUGGCGAAGGCGACCACCUGGGCUCAUACUGACACUGAGGUGCGAAAGCGUGGGGAGCAAACAGG
rnacentral:rRNA from 1 species